UAUUAGUCAAUGGCCUAAAGGCUGAACCAGUAACUUGGAAGAAUGUAAAUGUAUUAAUAAUUAAUACAAUAACGAUUAAUUCGUAUAAAAUUCUAAAUAGAAUAAUGAUAAUGACAAUUUUCUAUUUAUAAGUCUUGACCAAAUUACGUGCCAGCAGUCGCGGUAAUACGUAAAAGACUAGUGUUAGUCAUCUUUAUUAGGUUUAAAGGGUACCUAGACGGUAAAUUAAACUCUCAUUGAGUAUCUUUUUACUAGAGUUUUAUAAGAGAAGGAAGAAUUUUUGGAGUAGUGAUAAAAUACUUUUAUACCAAAAAGACUGAUAACGGCGAAGGCAUCCUUCUAUGUAAAAACUGACGUUGAGGGACGAAGGCUUGGGUAGCAAUAAGGAUUAGAUACCCUAGUAGUCCAAGCAGAAAAUAAUGAAUGUCAUAAACUAGAUAAUUAAUUUAGUAUAUAAAUGAAAGUGUAAGCAUUCCACCUCAAGAGUAAUAUGGCAACAUAUAAACUGAAAUCAUUAGACCGUUUCUGAAACCAGUAGUGAAGUAUGUUAUUUAAUUCAAUAAUCCGCA
rnacentral:rRNA from 1 species